rnacentral:rRNA from 16 species
GAUGCAAGAGCUGCCGAGCCUGAAUCCAAUGGACACUGGUUCUGAGUGCGAGGUGUCCUCCAUGGGACCCGAAAGAUGGUGAACUAUACCUGGCUA